rnacentral:rRNA from 1 species
UACGGAGGGUGCAAGCGUUGUCCGGAUUUAUUGGGUUUAAAGGGUGCGUAGGCGGCUCUUUAGGUCAGUGGUGAAAGCCUCCAGCUUAACUGGAGAACAGCCAUUGAUACUGAAGAGCUUGAGUACAGACGAGGUAGGCGGGAUUUAUGGUGUAGCGGUGAAAUGCAUAGAUACCAUAAAGAACUCCUAUUGCGAAGGCAGCUUACUAGGCUGUAACUGACGCUGAGGCACGAAAGCGUGGGGAUCAAACAGG